UUAUUGCGGAUUUUCAAGAAGUUCCCUCGAUUUCUCUGGGAUACAUCAUCAGAUCCUGGUUUCCUUAUCAUGGUACUAAACUUGGGAUAUCUCCUUUCCAACAAAAAAAGAAUUAUCAAAAUCGGUACAUCCAGUAGAAAGUCAUGCGGUAUAAUACAACGUAGGUCGACGAAAAAAGCGUCAAGUAAAAACGCAUUAUUAGAUAUAACUCGAAAAGUAGUUGUUAGAUCUCAAAUAAAUUUAAAUGGGACCAAUUGGCACACACCACCUUUCGAUUAAAACAAAAUUUGUCGAAAUCGGUCCACACGGUCAAAAGUUCUGAUGUAACAUACAU
rnacentral:misc_RNA from 1 species